rnacentral:lncRNA from 1 species
GGAAAACCGACUUCUGAUCAGCAGCACUGGUUUGAACUUUACAGGAGCUGAAAUCAUGUUCAUUCAUGGAGUGAAAAAGGAGAUAAAGAUAUCAAAUCUACAAAUAUUGAACAAGUUUUUCACCAAUAAACCAUUACUAAAGGAUAUACACUUCAAGAAGGAGAAUAAUGACUCCAGAAAGAAAGUUUAAGAUGCAAGAAGUGGCUACGGCUAUGAUGAUUUCUGGCAAUCAAGUAUAGAAGAAUUGUUUU